rnacentral:rRNA from 1 species
GGAAGUACCGCCUGCCCUGUGGAAACCUAAACGGCCGCGGCAUUAAAACCGUGCAAAGGUAGCACAAUCACUUGUCCCUUAAAUGAGGACGCGUAUGAAAGGCAACAUGAGAGAAGACCUGUCUCCUGAGGACCGCCAAUGAAAUUGAUCUACCAGUCCAAAAGCUGGUAUAAACAAGCAAGACAAAAAGACCCUGUGGAACUUUAAUUAACUGAUUUUAUCUUAGCACUAACCAGUAAUUUUAGUUGGGACAACUUUAGAAAAAAUAAACUUCCUAAAUCUAUAAAGACUUACUAGUCCAAAACCACUAUGACCCAGUAAUACUGAUCAACGAAAUAAGCUACCCCAGGGAUAACAGCGCCACCUUCUAAAAGAGUCCAUAUCAACAAGAAGAUCUACGACCUCGAUGUUGGAUCAGGGUACCCAGACGGUGCAGCAGCUGUCAAUGGUUCGUUUGUUCAACGACUAACACCCUACGUGAUCUG